rnacentral:rRNA from 1 species
CAAUAGCGUAUAUUUAAGUUGCUGCAGUUAAAAAGCUCGUAGUUGGAUUUCGGGUGGGAAUGGCCGGUCCGCCGUUUCGGUGUGCACUUGCUACGCCCACCUUGCUGCCGGGGACGUGCUCUUGAGUUCACGCUCGGGACACGGAGUCGGCGAGGUUACUUUGAGUAAAUUAGAGUGUUCAAAGCAGGCCUACGCUCUGAAUACAUUAGCAUGGAAUAACACGAUAGGACUCUGGCCUAUCUUGUUGGUCUGUAGGACCGGAGUAAUGAUUAAGAGGGACAGUCGGGGGCAGUCGUAUUUCAUUGUCAGAGGUGAAAUUCUUGGAUUUAUGAAAGACGAACUACUGCGAAAGCAUUUGCCAAGGAUGUUUUCAUUAA